rnacentral:rRNA from 1 species
CAGUAGCCGCGGGAAUACGUAGGUGGCAAGCGUUGUCCGGAAUUAUUGGGCGUAAAGGGCUCGCAGGCGGUUUCUUAAGUCUGAUGUGAAAGCCCCCGGCUCAACCGGGGAGGGUCAUUGGAAACUGGGAAACUUGAGUGCAGAAGAGGAGAGUGGAAUUCCACGUGUAGCGGUGAAAUGCGUAGAGAUGUGGAGGAACACCAGUGGCGAAGGCGACUCUCUGGUCUGUAACUGACGCUGAGGAGCGAAAGCGUGGGGAGCGAACAGGAUUAGAUACCCGCGUAGUCCCUGUCUCUUAUAA